rnacentral:lncRNA from 1 species
UGGUAUUUUUGCUCGACUCAAGUGCCCGCUUUGGGCAACUAGAUGAUAUAAGUUCAUGUUGUGGAUAGGUGAUGGAUAAAAUGGUGCUAAUUACAGCAGUUCAAAGAUUCUUUUUAACACUACUGUAGCACUUCAAAUAAUGUUUUUGGGCGACAAUGUUUAUGCUUUUUUGUAUUACAAGUUACAAAAGUGUUGGACUUAUCAGUUGUGACCUACUUUGGUUCUGAGAAAGAGCUCCUCAAAUGCAUGUCACAUGUUUUUGCUUGAGCUGGCCUUAACUUCUAGUUCUGUUUGCACUCUAUGAUGGCAACGUGUUCUAGUGCAAGUCUACUAAUAUAUCAUCUUUAUUUUGGCUCUACAAUGGUUGCAAACCAGAAAUGUUCUCCACCUCAAACGUACUCCAUUCUUCCAUUUUUAUAGCUAUUUUAUUUUGUUCCUUGUUCACUCGCAACCCACUGUUAGUUCACUCGCAAACUGCAAUAGCGGCCACAACUAAGGGCAUUUGCUUCCAGCACAGGAGCUACAUGCUCGACGGUUGCGCACUGCCGCCAUGGACAUGCACAAAGAUAUUAAGUACAAGUAUGUUAGUUAAGUUUUUUACUAUUGAUUUACCUUGUUUAAGUAGUAGUGCAGCAAAAAAUGGUGUAGUUGUACUGAAGUUUUAGUUGCUAUAUGGGGAACCUGGGGGCCAUUUAUUUUGGUUUUCAGUUCAACUUUUCUGUUCUUUUCAAUCCUAUGCUUUAUUGUGCACAAUCUUGAGGAAAUCCCCAAAAAUCAUGUGUGCACUCAAGGUAGUUAAGCGCCUUUGUAAAAUUUUGACAGUCCAUCCCAGACUAAGCAAACAGUACAUGUUAGUCUUGGUUUGUGGUUAGACAUGCAAACAAUACAUGUGUGUACCGUUGCUCUUGCUUAUUAAAGCCUGCAUCGAUAGUUAAUCUUGAACUGGAUGUUUUAUUCUAUGUUAGGUGAAUGAAGCCGUGGUGCCAGCAGCCACCUGCGCUACAGAAUGCAAGUGUUUGCAGUUUGCUCACCAGAAUGUUGAAUGAGACUACAUCAUUAUUACUCAAAAAAUUCAUUUUGCAUUUGUUCAGAAUUGUUCUCUGUAUCCGUGGCAAAUAAUGUUUUUUUUUCUGGUUUAAUGCAAUACUCCUGUGGAAGCACUAAAACACGCUACCUGUUGAACUGAUGCUGAAGACAAGGAGCAGGACCAAGUGUGCUGGAAGUAUUUUUGUACCCAUGUGUAACAUCCUCGAUGUGACUAUAUCUCCCACGUGUCGAGGCACGACUUAGAGGUAUAAUCGCAUUGAAGGCAUAUGUCGUAAAUUAGGCAGUCUUCACAACAUCCCAUGUAAUAUAAAUCAUAAAGGGGAG